AAAGAGGGGAGCAGCGGAAGGAAGUGGGGGUGCCCCCUCCUGAUCCUGCCACCGCUUGGGAGGAUACUGCACACUCUGAGCCUCUGUCUGCUUAGCAGGUGGAUGGUAACCGUAAUGACUGAGCACUGUUGGGAGGAUUAAACAGGGAAAGGCCAGUCCAGAGAGCGGCUUGGGGUGGAAACUCAGUGAGAGGUGCUGCCUCCUCACCAUGACCGCGGCCACCAGUAUGGCGCCUCCUGAAUUAGCUGGCACCUGAGCUGGCUGGGAAGACUUGGGCAGGAGGCCAGUUAGUUGGCGUCCCCAAGAAGAGCCUUUUCCUGCUGCUCACUGGGCUGUGUUUGGGGUUUCCUAGACAAAAAUGGAGAGCUGGAUUUCUCUACUUUCCUGACCGUGAUGCACAUGCAGAUAAAACAAGAAGACCCAAAGAAAGAAAUUCUCCUGGCCAUGCUGAUGGCCGACAGGGAGAAAAAGGGCUACAUCAUGGCAUCUGAGCUGCGGUCAAAGCUCACGAGACUGGGGGAGAAGCUCACCGACAAGGAAGGUAACAGCCUGGGACCCUGUCCCCCAACAGCUGGGUGGACGAACUUUUCAGGGAAGCAAAUAUUGAACCAAAUGACAAAGUGAAGUAUGAUGAAUUCAUCCACAAGAUUACCCUUCCUGCAAGGGACUACUGAAUGAGGACGAGCACAAGAGAGCCUUUCCUGGCCUGAAAACUC